rnacentral:rRNA from 1 species
CUGAUGUUAGCGGCGGACGGGUGAGUAACACGUGGGUAACCUACCUAUAAGACUGGGAUAACUCCGGGAAACCGGGGCUAAUACCGGAUAAUAUUUUGAACCGCAUGGUUCAAUAGUGAAAGACGGUUUCGGCUGUCACUUAUAGAUGGACCCGCGCCGUAUUAGCUAGUUGGUAAGGUAACGGCUCACCAAGGCGACGAUACGUAGCCGACCUGAGAGGGUGAUCGGCCACACUGGAACUGAGACACGGUCCAGACUCCUACGGGAGGCAGCAGCC